ensembl:snRNA U6 U6 spliceosomal RNA
GUGCUUGUUUCAUCAGUACAUAUGCUAAAUGUAAAUGAUACGGAGAUUAGCAUGGCCCCUGCAAAGGAUGACAUGCAAAUUCAUUAGCCUUUCCAUAUUUUU